CCUACGGGAGGCAGCAGUGGGGAAUUUUGGACAAUGGGCGAAAGCCUGAUCCAGCAAUGCCGCGUGCAGGAUGAAGGCCUUCGGGUUGUAAACUGCUUUUGUACGGAACGAAAAAGCUCCUUCUAAUACAGGGGGCCCAUGACGGUACCGUAAGAAUAAGCACCGGCUAACUACGUGCCAGCAGCCGCGGUAAUACGUAGGGUGCGAGCGUUAAUCGGAAUUACUGGGCGUAAAGCGUGCGCAGGCGGUUAUGUAAGACAGAUGUGAAAUCCCCGGGCUCAACCUGGGAACUGCAUUUGUGACUGCAUGGCUNGAGUACGGUAGAGGGGGAUGGAAUUCCGCGUGUAGCAGUGAAAUGCGUAGAUAUGCGGAGGAACACCGAUGGCGAAGGCAAUCCCCUGGACCUGUACUGACGCUCAUGCACGAAAGCGUGGGGAGCAAACAGGAUUAGAUACCCUGGUAGUCCACGCCCUAAACGAUGUCAACUGGUUGUUGGGAAUUAGUUUUCUCAGUAACGAAGCUAACGCGUGAAGUUGACCGCCUGGGGAGUACGGCCGCAAGGUUGAAACUCAAAUGAAUUGACGGGG
rnacentral:rRNA from 1 species